UUCCCCCCUGUGGCAUUUAUUCUGUGCACAUGAACACGUUUUCAGAAUUGCUAUGUGUAACUCAGACGGUUACUCUUGUGUGUUUUGCUGCUAGUUGUGCGAACGAGCCAGACAAACCAGCUGGGAGGAGGACGGAAGCACCCCUUCUCCAUCCGCGUUCAGUUGCUAAAUACGGAUCCACCCCGUAGUAAGUAACCUACCAUGUUUACGCACACAUUACUUUGACCAGCAAAGCCCAUGUCUUUCUAGUGGUUUACAAAAAAAUAUCGUUUGCAUGUUUUGCUUUGGUACGUCUCUGUUGUAUGACUCUGGUAAUAGUAGCAAGCACAAGCACAACCUGUUCGCCGCUCCAGCAUUGCAAAAUAGAUUGCCUUGGGUUUUCAAAUGUUUACAUGAUUGUGGGUGUAAUGUUGUUAACUCGCUGAUGUCGUUUUUGAGAAGACGGUAGUUUUGCAUUUGAUAAAUACCACCUAAUGACCAUGACGGCUACACGGCAGAUCUUUAUUGUGAUGGCUACACUGAAUGAUCACAUGGAGAUGCCGGUACAUUAUUUGUUUUACCCUGGUUAUAUUGAAAUGUUCUGCUUUGUCCAUUCCAAGGUGUGGUGUUUUCCAUAGCUGCUCCUUGCUCCUGUUUCACAACAUAUCAAGGCUGCCAAGUAAAUGAAGAAUGAAUCACCGCACACUGGUCAACAGCCGACAGGGUCCUUCCACAACCACAUACUUAUGCCAGUAAAAGCCACAGCUUUUCUCCUCCAAUCCAAGAAGCCUGGACUGCAGUCACCAUCUCAACACACCAACCAAGAGAAAGGCGGAUGGCUCAAUUCAAUAUGGAAAAUUGCACAAUGAAAGUUCCAGGACAUGAAGGC